rnacentral:tRNA from 1 species
CUGAGGUGGCCUAGCCUGGUAGGGCGGUAGCCUGGAAAGCUAUUGUGUGUAAGCACGCGCGAGUUCGAAUCUCGUCCUCAGCACCA